rnacentral:rRNA from 1 species
AUUGAACGCUGGCGGCAGGCCUAACACAUGCAAGUCGAACGAGUGGCGGACGGGUGAGUAAUGUCUGGGAAACUGCCCGAUGGAGGGGGAUAACUACUGGAAACGGUAGCUAAUACCGCAUACCAUCGGAUGUGCCCAGAUGGGAUUAGCUAGGAGGUGGGGUAAAGGCUCACCUCGGCGACGAUCCCUAGCUGGUCUGAGAGGAUGACCAUCCACACUGGAACUGAGACACGGGCCAGACUCCUACGGGAGGCAGCAGUGGGGAAUAGUGCACAAUGGGCGCAAGCCUGAUGCAGCCAUGCCGCGUGUAUGAAGAAGGCCUUCGGGUUGUAAAGUACUUUCAGCGAGGAGGCGUUACUCGCAGAAGAAGCACCGGCUAACUCCGUGCCAGCAGCCGCGGUAAUAC